UCCAGGGAAGCCUAGUGGACAUGGCACCUGCCCGGUAAGCAGAAGGUUGUGGGUUCGAUUCCCGCCCCUGGAC
rnacentral:tRNA from 1 species